rnacentral:rRNA from 1 species
AGAGCGAACGCUGGCGGCAGGCCUAACACAUGCAAGUCGAGCGCGUGUAGCAAUACACGAGCGGCAGACGGGAGAGUAACACGUGGGAACGCGCCCUUCGGUUCGGAAUAACUCAGGGAAACUUGAGCUAAUACCGGAUACGCCCUUACGGGGAAAGAUUUAUUGCCGAAGGAACGGCCCGCGUCCGAUUAGCUAGUUGGUGAGGUAACGGCUCACCAAGGCGACGAUCGGUAGCUGGUCUGAGAGGAUGACCAGCCUCACUGGGACUGAUACACGGCCCAGACUCCUACGGGAGGCAGCAGUGGGGAAUAUUGGACAAUGGGCGCAAGCCUGAUCCAGCCAUGCCGCGUGGAUGAUGAAGGCCUUAGGGUUGUAAAGUCCGUUUUAACGGGGAAGAUAAUGACGGUACCCGUAGAAUAAGCCCCGGCUAACUUCGUGCCAGCAGCCGC